AGAAUCAACGCUGGCGGCGUGCCUAACACAUGCAAGUCGAACGAGAAAGUGGAGCAAUCCAUGAGUAAAGUGGCGCACGGGUGAGUAACACGUGACUAACCUACCCUUGAGUGGGGGAUAACCUCGGGAAACCGGGCUAAUACCGCAUAAUACCUACGGGUCAAAGGAGCAAUUCGCUUUAGGAGGGGUCGCGGCAGAUUAGUUAGUUGGCGGGGUAAUGGCCCACCAAGACGGUGAUCUGUA
rnacentral:rRNA from 1 species